UAGCGUAUAUUAAAGUUGUUGCGGUUAAAAAGCUCGUAGUUGGAUUUCUGUGGCACGCGGGCGGUCCACACUAUGUGUGAGUAUCUGCUUCGGGUGCUGCAUCCUCCUGAGGAACGUGGUGCGCUUCAGUGCGUGGCACGGUAUUCAGGACUUUUACUUUGAGGAAAUUAGAGUGUUCACGGCAGGCGCUUGCCCUGAAUAUAUUAGCAUGGAAUAAUAAUAUAGGAUUCACGUCCUAUUUUGUUGGUUUCUAGGACGAGAAUAAUGAUUAAUAGGGAUAAUUGGGGGCAUUCGUAUUAAGAUGUC
rnacentral:rRNA from 1 species